UAGCUUAGUGAUUAAGGCUUUGGAUAGCCAAUCCAGAGACGGCGGGUUCGAUUCCCGU
rnacentral:tRNA from 1 species